rnacentral:rRNA from 1 species
UACGAAGGACCCGAGCGUUAUCCGGAUUUAUUGGGCUUAAAGGGUGCGUAGGCGGGUUAUUAAGUCAGUGGUGAAAGCCUACAGCUUAACUGUAGAAUUGCCAUUGAUACUGAUAAUCUUGAGUAUGAUUGAGGUGGGCGGAAUGUGUCAUGUAGCGGUGAAAUGCUUAGAUAUGACACAGAACACCGAUUGCGAAGGCAGCUCACUAAGCCAUAACUGACGCUGAUGCACGAAAGCGUGGGGAGCAAACAGG